rnacentral:rRNA from 1 species
CAGUAGCCGCGGGAAUACGAGGGGGGCAAGCGUUGUUCGGAAUUAUUGGGCGUAAAGGGCGCGUAGGCGGUUUGGCAAGUUUGGUGUGAAAUCUUCGGGCUCAACUCGAAGUCUGCACCGAAAACUGCCGGGCUUGAGUAUGGGAGAGGUGAGUGGAAUUUCCGGUGUAGCGGUGAAAUGCGUAGAGAUCUGGAGGAAUACCGAUGGCGAAGGCAGCCAUCUGGCCUAAUACUGACGCUGAGGUACGAAAGCAUGGGGAGCAAACAGGAUUAGAUACCCGCGUAGUCCCUGUCUCUUAUAC